GGGGCCAUGGCUCAGUAGCAGAACAUCGGUUUGGUGUGCAGAAGGUCCCAGGUUCAAUCCCGGGCACCCCCA
rnacentral:tRNA from 1 species